CCUACGGGAGGCUGCAGUGGGGAAUAUUGCACAAUGGGGGAAACCCUGAUGCAGCGACGCCGCGUGAGUGAUGAAGUCAUUCGUGAUGUAAAGCUCUAUUAGCAGGGAAGAAAAUGACGGUACCUGAGUAAGAAGCCCCGGCUAACUACGUGCCAGCAGCCGCGGUAAUACGUAGGGGGCCAGCGUUAUCCGGAUCUACUGGGUGUAAAGGGAGCGUAGACGGCAGUGCAAGUCAGGAGUGAAAGGCGGGGGCUCAACCCCCGGACUGCUGUGGAAACUGUAAGGCUGGAGUGCAGGAGAGGUAAGUGGAAUUCCUAGUGUAGCGGUGAAAUGCGUAGAUAUUAGGAGGAACACCAAUGGCGAAGGCAGCUUACUGGACUGUAACUGACAUUGAGGCUCGAAAGCGUGGGGAGCAAACAGGAUUAGAUACCCUAGUAGUC
rnacentral:rRNA from 1 species